GGCCCAUUAGCUCAGUUGGUUAGAGCGUCGUGCUAAUAACGCGAAGGCCGUGGGUUCGAUCCCCCCAUUGGCCA